rnacentral:rRNA from 1 species
AGAGUUUGAUCCUGGCUCAGAUUGAACGCUGGCGGCAGGCCUAACACAUGCAAGUCGAGCGGACGAGUGGAGCUUGCUCCAUGAUUCAGCGGCGGACGGGUGAGUAAUGCCUAGGAAUCUGCCUGGUAGUGGGGGACAACGUUUCGAAAGGAACGCUAAUACCGCAUACGUCCUACGGGAGAAAGCAGGGGACCUUCGGGCCUUGCGCUAUCAGAUGAGCCCAGGUCGGAUUAGCUAGUUGGUGAGGUAACGGCUCACCAAGGCGACGAUCCGUAACUGGUCUGAGAGGAUGAUCAGUCACACUGGAACUGAGACACGGUCCAGACUCCUACGGGAGGCAGCAGUGGGGAAUAUUGGACAAUGGGCGAAAGCCUGAUCCAGCCAUGCCGCGUGUGUGAAGAAGGUCUUCGGAUUGUAAAGCACUUUAAGUUGGGAGGAAGGGCAGUAAGUUAAUACCUCGCUGUUUUGACGUUACCGACAGAAUAAGCACCGGCUAACUUCGUGCCAGCAGCCGCGGUAAUACGAAGGGUGCAAGCGUUAAUCGGAAUUACUGGGCGUAAAGCGCGCGUAGGUGGUUCAGCAAGUUGGAUGUGAAAGCCCCGGGCUCAACCUGGGAACUGCAUCCAAAACUACUGAGCUAGAGUACGGUAGAGGGUGGUGGAAUUUCCUGUGUAGCGGUGAAAUGCGUUGAUAUAGGAAG